CUCCAUCAGACAAACAUGAAGAUCUUUCAUGUUCUUGCUGCUGUCGCUGUUGUCCUCACCUUCAUCUGCCUUCAGCAGAGCUCUUCUCUUCCACUCACGAAGGAGGAAGAUUUCGGGCAGAUCAAGGACAGUCGAGGUUCUGGAGAUGAGAACAUGUCCCCAUGGAAGGCCACAACGAUGGGUAGCAGAGGCUUCAGAUGGGGCAGUCGCUCUUCAAAGCGCUUCUGAUCAUGAAUGUUACGACUUACCAAAACUACAUUUUUGGCAGACUGAUGUAAUUGGCCUCAAAAUAUUAUAAUAAAAUGCUCA